UGUUUGGUUUUGUGAGGAAGACUUCAUCCGUCCUGCUGCAGAAGAAUCUCCUCUGCUGGGUGAUUUCCGCUGCUGCAUCAGCCUGCAUGUCUUUGUUAAAUGGCUCCGGAAGGUUUUACAAACACCCAAAUAUUGGGCUUAUUAAAAGCCCAAUAUUUACCUUUUCUUAAACGACUUAUUUUUUAUAAAAAAAUUCUCUCACUUUUAUCCCAUUUGCAUUAUGUGAAGGUAAAUGUGCAGCGUGUCUGCUCUGUUUCUGCAGCAGCUUUCCUCCCAAAAGCUGCUGCAGCCUCUGAGCUGCUGCUGCUUCAGAGGCUCUGCAGCUUUGGACUGGAUUUCUGGGAAUUUUAUUUUUUAAUAUUUUCAUGUUUGACUCAGAUUUUGCUGGUGUCUUUCUCAGCUGUAUUUUUUAUUUUUUAUUUCUUUAUGUUCUGGUAGAUCACUGGCGUUGGUAUAAAAUAAAAGUGAGCUGUAAUGUAAAACACAUAUGUGACCUAAGGACGCAAAUGCAUCACUGGUCGGUUGUGAUAUCUUCAGCAAAUAUCUGGUCAGUCUGUGUAAACCUGCGGCUCAGUGCAGGUCAGAUGCUGUGGUCAUCAUGCAGGCAGCGCGCUGUCCACGGACGGUGCGCAUGGAUUGGAGGUUCGUCUGACUGCCCUCCUCCACCUGAUGUUGAGCUGCUUGGUUUCAGACAGGUUCUGGUCGGUUCUGGAUGAGCUGGGUUUGGUUCCAUUACAGCUGAAAAUGGGUCUGUUUGCUCCGCUGGUGCAGCUUAGCGCUAAAUCCGUUGCGCAAGUGGAAUGUUUAGGAGAAGUUUGCUGCUCUGCAGCUGUGAGCUGUUCAGAUGGAAUAGUUGGAGUUACUUUGUGCUCCAGCAGGGAGGUUUUACUGCUUUAUCAGUUAAUAAAAUAGUGCCAUAAAGGAUUAUGUCUAAAAUACCAGAUCGAUUAAAAGAAUGGUUUAUUUUAGAGGUUAGUCAGAAUCUAACCUGUUUGUAAUGUUGGAAUUAAUAACAGAUUAUUGCUGCGUUUCCUGAUAUAAAUCCAGAACGAGGUUAAAUAAGACAUCUCAUUUAUUUAUGUAAUUGAGGAAUGAAACAAAACAUUUAGUUUUAUUUUAUACAUUUUGCAAAAAGGAAAUCAAUUUCUCCU